UUCACAGAGGUAUCAAAAGCUGCUCUAAAAGUUCUGAGCUUCUGAAUACAAUCUAGAACAAUGGACGUACAGAAAAGUGCCACUUUAAUUUUUUCAAAACAUCUUCUUUUGGGAUCACAUGGGUUUGGAAUAACAUGAAAGGGAGUUAAUGACCACAUUUUCGUUUUGAAGUGAACUGUCCCUUUAAAGAAGGACCACCAGGUUGCCAAGCGAGAGAGGGGGAUGUGAGACAGAGAGAGAAAAUCAAAAGAAGAGGGGGAGUCUGGAUGAGGACUAUUGCGGCCAACUCGUUCUGUUGAGUUGAGAAGCAGCAUCUGGAAACGUUUAUGUCUGCGCAGCUACGGCCCCAACAGUUACAUCACUCAGAGGAACACUUCCCUGCCCCCAACACACACACACACACACACAUUCAUAUACACACACAACAACCCCCAGUAACCCAGUACGAUUUCCUGCAAAUUCCAAAGUCGGAUCCCGGCUGGAACACUUCAGUGCGCUUGCCACGUCACUUUGCCUCUUCUUUCGUCCCUUUUUUUUUUUUACUUUCGUCCUCUCUUUUCUUCAUUUAUCGCUUUCUCUUUACUUCGAAAACCACUGCUAAAGGAAUAAUUCUCAGUGUUAUUCAUAAAACAACGAUAAAGAGCGAAAACUGCACUCGGUUCAGAAUUCGAAAAUGGAGCCAUGAUGGCAAAGCGAUCUGUAUUCCUCGUGAAGAAACUACAGAGGCCUGGAAUAUGCAUUUGCCACGCAGCAGCGGACAUUCGUGUGCGGUCCUCGGGGCAGUGACCUGCGGUCCAGCCGCCCUCUUUCCUCCCCCCCGCCUGCCCAGUGUUCAGACUACCUGUUCAUCAUGCUGCAGCUGAACAGUAGUCCGCACAUUGGUUAGGCUGGGCAGGGACACACACACCCGUGGCUCAAGCAAAUGGACUCUACCAUUCGCUCCUGGAUGGGGGGAUUUUACAUAUAAACAAUCUCUCUUGGGGAAUGAAUUGAGACGUUUACAUUGAAGUUGCUUUGGAGCAUCUGCCAAAUGCACUCAAGUACACAUUCAUAAAUGUAUGUACUCCCUGGAAAUAAAACCCAAGGCCUUGAUGUUACUAGCACCACAUUCUACCAGUCAAGCCACAGGAACUCUGGAAAACAGCUAACGUUUGCACUAAUUUCAAACACACAUGGCGCUCGAGCCCAACUUGAGUGGAGCUGAUUUUAAGCUGAAGCCACAGGGGGAGGGACUGCAAAAGAGAAAUGAAGAACAUAUCUCACCUCCUCAUCCUUAUACCAGGAGAGCGAUUCGGCCGUCAGGAUGAACCAGUACUCCUUGGAGCCGCCCUUCAUAAUGCUGAUGUUGAGGGUUAGCCAGCCUUUACGGAUUACCUGUGGGACAGAGGGAGGAGGGGGGCGGAGGGUGUAGGGCAUGCCAAAAGAGUGGGGAAACAGUUAUGAGAUCCACACAUGUACAUUCAACAGUCUUUGUGCUGGAAGCUUGUGUCCUAUGCUGAUCAAUCCUGAAAACCUUACUGUGCAGGCCUUACCUGUUGUGGAAAUAUUUUGUGUAACUCUACUAAAGUCUGGUUGCCUUCUAUAGUGGCUAAUUUGAUUAACUAAAUAACUCAGCUUUGUACAAUACAGCAGUGGUUCUCAACUGGUUUAAAAAAAAUAAAUUUAGGCAAAAAAAAAAAAGGUCCAUUGUUUCGAAUUUUUGUUGCGGGUAAAAAUGGUACAUUGUUUUGUAAAAAAAAAAAAAGAAAUUAGACAAAAAAAGGUAAAUUGUUAUUAAGUUUCAUUGUUAAUAUUAGCAAUGGAUAACACAUUAAUUCAUUUCUUUUUUAAAACAAGUAGCAUUAUGUUUGUAAACAGAGCGAAUCUGCGCGAACAGGUUGAAGUUGCGAAAUGUGCUUGUGGAAAUCUUCCGCCCACGCGUGCAAUUCACGAAUGCGGGGAUUCCAAUUGAAAUGACUACUGUUAAAUGAAAAUUUGCUGAAGUAUAGACAAUACAUAUAUAGUCCAUCAAUAUGCAAACAUAUUAGCAUAAAAAUAAAUAUUUUUAAACAGGAAAAGUGAUGAACACAACUGCAUGAACAACAGCAGAGGUGCGAUUUACCAACAUUAAUGCAUAAAAAAUGUUGUAUCAGUAAUUGCGAAAAUGCCCUGAUUUUUGAUUAAAAGUGUUUUUUUUUUUUUUUUUUAAAGCUGAUAUACAAAAUUAUAUGCAUAAUUUUAGCAUUAGGUUGCGUUCCACCAGUUGGGAACCACUGGACUCUGUAGUAUCUAGCUGUACUCUGCAUGUAGUCGGAACAUAAGGCCGCAAUUAAAGCAUAGUUACAGAUAAACACUUUAGAAAAUCUGAAUAUACACUAACUAAACCACUGGGUAGGUGUCUUUAAGUCUUGAAAUAGAGCAACAAUAAAAGAACAAAGGAACAA